GACGUAGGGCGCGAGCGUUGUCCGGAUUUAUUGGGCGUAAAGAGCGUGUAGGCGGCCAGAUAGGUCAGCUGUGAAAACUCGAGGCUCAACCUCGAGAUGUCGGCUGAAACCAUCUGGCUAGAGUCCGGAAGAGGAGAAUGGAAUUCCCGGUGUAGCGGUGAAAUGCGCAGAUAUCGGGAAGAACACCCGUGGCGAAGGCGACUUACUGGACACAUAUUGACGCUGAGGUGCGAAAGCGUGGGGAGCAAACAGG
rnacentral:rRNA from 1 species